CAACGAAGUAUUUCUUAUCAGCUGAGAAAGCAGUGGAAGGUGGUGGCUGACCCUUAGGAAAAGGGCUGGUAAACUGUGCUGGUGCAUGCAGAGCUGCCUCAGUUUUGGAGCUACAUCAGAGCAGCUUUGGGAGAAAUGGAGGACAGCAAGAAGGCAUGAGCAGAACAGCAGGGCUUAGGAUGUGACUUUGCCUUGAGCCAGCUCUGGGUGAAGGUGAAGGACACCUGCUUUGGGGACCUUCUGGGGCUUCCCCAUGACUGCAAAGGUGCAGUCCUGUUUGCGGUGUUUUGCUGUAGCCUUUGAACACACGGAACAGCCCACGCAGAGGACCCUGAGCAUCAGGAGGCUGGGAUGGGAACUCUACAAAAGCUCCAGGCAAGACCAGCUUUCGUUCCAAAUGCCUCACAUUCAGGAAUACAACAACCAGGAGGCUGUUCAUUUGAAGUGCAGCAAGCGUGGGAUGACUGUGC